GCAAACUUGGUCAUUUAGAGGAAGUAAAAGUCAUAACAAGGUUUCCGUAGGUGAACCUGCGGAAGGAUCAUUACAGUGUUUUGAUGCGGUGCGCCCCCCAAGGGCGUGCCCCGAAACCCCACCCUUGAUUACUAUACCGUCCGUUGCUUCGGCGGGGGCUCCCCCCGCCGGAGGACAAUCAGAAUUCUUUGUGAUAUUGGCCGUCUGAGUGAUUUUUGAAUCGUUAAAACUUUCAACAAUGGAUCUCUUGGUUCCGGCAUCGAUGAAGAACGCAGC
rnacentral:misc_RNA from 1 species